GCUGAUGAUGAUAGAAUGCCAAUGUAUGGAGUUGCAGUUGGUUCUGAGUCCUUGGCAUCCAAGGAGAACCUACUCGGAGUUGCCACUGCAUUUCAAUGACAAUACUGGCUCUUUCCUGAGGU
rfam:Picea glauca, whole genome shotgun sequence.